AGAAAAAAUCGAGGAGAACAUGGCUAGUCAACCAGCAGCUCCUACUUAACUUCAGCCUUGGCCCUUGAACCUUCAGAUAAACAAUCCGUGUCUGAUUCUAUUUGUUUAUCAAGCUCCCUAGAAAAUAUGCAGCUGUCACCAAUUAACAUUUGGAUUCAAUAUUCGGAAUUUCGGAUGAUAAGCUGUCUGAAAAUUUUGGAAGCAAUCCAGCGAGGCAGCGAUCCAGCCGUUCAUUCGUUUGUGGUUUGUGGAUGCUGAGGACUGUCGCUAGGUGGCGAGUGCCCAUUCGUUAGUGACAAUUUGUGCCAUUUGUUUCCGAGACGCUGUGCGAGUGAGAUAAUUAAUGCAAAUCGUAAUGGUUUACUGCGAAUUAAAUAGUUAUUUGUAUGGCAUCAUAGCGUGCAAUUUCUACUUGGCAAUUUCAUCUGAUCGUGUGGAACAGCUGUACAUUUUGCCAAAAUAUCUCUUUUCCUAUACCUGAAGUGCACGUUUCGUCAACUUCAGAACAAUUAAAGAUUAACAGCCUGGUAAAGUCUUCAGAGCUCCCUUGUUGUUGCACAACAUGCACAUGGAUUUGAUGUAGCCAGAUGGUUAAAGGUAUUCAUCUUGCUACUUGUCCUGCUGUAUGUUUCUUUACAUGAAGAAGUCUCAUUUACCUUUACUGUGAACUUCAAUAGAUGUGCACUAAUUGAAGGCCAGUUGUUCCCUAGUUGAUGUCCGAUGUGGGACGUUGUUGCAGCCUAUGCUGGUGAAAGAUCUUUUUACAUCUCAUGUUAAACUGCAGGCUGUUCCUUGGUGCUGGUGUCGUGUUACCGAAGUUGCAUCAUUGUUUUGUUUGAUUGUCAUUGGGUCUGCAGUUUAUCGUUUACAUGUUAUGAGGGAACAAAAACAGAAAUCUGGGGAAUUCAUGUCAAACAAUUAAUAAACAUGUUUUGAGAUUGGGAAAGGAAUGUAGAGGAUGUUGGGGGGGGGGAGAUUGAAUUUUAAAAAAAAUUUAGAGGUUUGUUGUAAAUAAAAUAUUACCUACAUGUUAGGUAAUGAUUAAAACCAUAACUUAUAAUCCCACCAUAAUACACCGUCAUAUUUUUCCCACAUCCCUAUAACCUUUAAUCCAACAAACAUACCUACAUAUAGUUUUCCUUUCCAUAUAACUCUUGUAAUGUGCAAUAUGAAUUUAAUAGUCAAUAAAAUCUAAAUUGUUU